GCCUGGGUGGCUCAGUUGGUUAAGUGUCUGACUUCAGCUCAGGUCAUGAUCUCACAGUUCAUGAGUUCAAGCCUCAUGUCGGGCU
rnacentral:tRNA from 1 species